rnacentral:rRNA from 1 species
AGAUUGAACGCUAGCGGGAUGCUUUACACAUGCAAGUCGAACGGCAGCGCGGACUUCGGUCUGGCGGCGAGUGGCGAACGGGUGAGUAAUAUAUCGGAACGUGCCCAGUAGCGGGGGAUAACUACGCGAAAGCGUGGCUAAUACCGCAUACGCCCGUACGGGGGAAAGGGGGGAUCGCAAGACCUCUCACUAUUGGAGCGGCCGAUAUCAGAUUAGCUAGUU